rnacentral:rRNA from 1 species
GCGGUAAGUGGCCGAGGAUGGACAAAACUCGUAUUAAUACCGCAUACGACCUACGGGAGAAAGGGGGCAGUUUACUGCUCUCGCUAUUAGAUGAGCCUAAGUCGGAUUAGCUAGAUGGUGGGGUAAAGGCCUACCAUGGCGACGAUCUGUAGCUGGUCUGAGAGGAUGAUCAGCCACACCGGGACUGAGACACGGCCCGGACUCCUACGGGAGGCAGCAGUGGGGAAUAUUGGACAAUGGGGGAAACCCUGAUCCAGCCAUGCCGCGUGUGUGAAGAAGGCCUUUUGGUUGUAAAGCACUUUAAGCAGUGAAGAAGACUCCGUGGUUAAUACCCACGGACGAUGACAUUAGCUGCAGAAUAAGCACCGGCUAACUCUGUGCCAGCAGCCGCGGUAAUACAGAGGGUGCAAGCGUUAAUCGGAAUUACUGGGCGUAAAGGGAGCGUAGGUGGCUCAAUAAGUCAGAUGUGAAAUCCCCGGGCUCAACCUGGGAACUGCAUCUUGUACUGUUGAGCUAGAGUAUGUGAGAGGAAGGUAGAAUUCCAGGUGUAGCGGUGAAAUGCGUAGAGAUCUGGAGGAAUCCGUGGCGAAGCAGCUUUUGCAUAUACUGACCUGAGGCUCAAAGCGUGGGUAGAACAAGAUAAGAACCCUGUAUCACCCGAAACAAGUUCUAUCGUGGGCCCUUGAGGCUAUGCCACUACCAUAGUAACUCUGGGAG